UACGUAGGUGGCAAGCGUUGUCCGGAAUUAUUGGGCGUAAAGCGCGCGCAGGCGGUCCUUUAAGUCUGAUGUGAAAGCCCACGGCUCAACCGUGGAGGGUCAUUGGAAACUGGGGGACCUGAGUACAGAAGAGAAGAGUGGAAUUCCACGUGUAGCGGUGAAAUGCGUAGAGAUGUGGAGGAACACCAGUGGCGAAGGCGACUCUUUGGUCUGUAACUGACGCUGAGAAGCGAAAGCAUGGGGAGCGAACAGG
rnacentral:rRNA from 1 species